CCGCUCUCAGGCCUGCAGCUCGACUCUGGGGUGGACACCGGAGCCUGGUCACUUCUGCCUCACUCAGCGCUGGCUGGGUGCCCAGCACCGGGCAGCAGGAGGACACAGGCCGAGGUGCACAGCCACAGCAGGCCCCUGCCUGCAAUGUGACCCUGUGAGGUGCCCAGGGCUUCCGCCCGGCCUCCGGGCUCGGCCACCCUUUGAGAUCCGGUGUCCAGGAAGGGAAGGGAGAAGGGGGUGGGUCCCCUGCAGGCCCACUCAGCCCCUCGCUCGGCAGGAGACACCCAGAGACCUCACUUCCGGGUCCUUCCAUCACAGCCGAGGGCGUCCUGGGAGGGGAGGACAGGCGGCCGGCGGCCCCCGCCCCUUUCCCUGAGCACAGCCCUCAGUCCCUUGGAGCUCUGACAUGAAGAGGUCUGCGGGGACCAGGUGCUCGGGUGGCCUGACAGCCCGUGGGAGUCAGGGAAGCCGGUGGCCUGGGGAACCCUGUGUCCUCCGUCUCUGAGGUCCAGCCCCCGCCCUGCUCUGGGUUUCCUCGACCCACCUGAGCAGGCAGCACCUCUGGCCUCCCUUCCUUCUGUCUCCUGAGGCCCAGGGUCCUGGACAGAGCCUGCUGGGCACACAGGUCAGACGGGGUGGGGCAGGACCCAGGCAGCCCAGAGGACAGGGCGGCCGGCAGGGCACAGCUGGCCCACGGCCCUUCCUCUCCGAGGCAGGAGCAGGCGUGUUGAGAGACUUAGGAAGAGUGCAGCUCAGGGGUGUGAGUGGUCAGAGGGUCACUCCUUCACCCCGUCCUGACAGGCCCAGUGAGCCAGGGGCGGGGAGCCUC
rnacentral:lncRNA from 1 species